GACGAACGCUGGCGGCGUGCUUAACACAUGCAAGUCGAACGAAGAGCGAUGGACGCUUGCUUCUAUCAAUCUUAGUGGCGAACGGGUGAGUAACGCGUAAUCAACCUGCCCUUCAGAGGGGGACAACAGUUGGAAACGACUGCUAAUACCGCAUACGAUCUAAUCUCGGCAUCGAGGAUAGAUGAAAGGUGGCCUCUACAUGUAAGCUAUCACUGAAGGAGGGGAUUGCGUCUGAUUAGCUAGUUGGAGGGGUAACGGCCCACCAAGGCGAUGAUCAGUAGCCGGUCUGAGAGGAUGAACGGCCACAUUGGGACUGAGACACGGCCCAGACUCCUACGGGAGGCAGCAGUGGGGAAUCUUCCGCAAGGGACGAAAGUCUGACGGAGCAACGCCGCGUGAGUGAUGACGGCCUUCGGGUUGUAAAGCUCUGUUAAUCGGGACGAAAGGCCUUCUUGCGAAUAGGGAGAAGGAUUGACGGUACCGGAAUAGAAAGCCACGGCUAACUACGUG
rnacentral:rRNA from 1 species